UCAGUCGGCCGGACGGCCGCUCCGGCAGGUGCCGAAAGGCCGCCGGGGAGGAAAGUCCGGGCUCCAUCGACAUGCGGUGCCGGAUAACGUCCGGCGGGGGCGACCCCAGGGACAGUGCCACAGAGAACGAACCGCUUCCUCCCGAAAGGGAGGCGAGUAAGGGUGAAAAGGUGCGGUAAGAGCGCACCGCGGGGCCGGCAACGGAACCGGCAUGGUAAACCCCACCGGGAGCAAAACCGAAUAGGGACGGCCACGCGGAGACAAUCGCUUUUGGCGAUGACGUCCGCGGGAGCGAUGUCAGGCUCGC
rnacentral:RNase_P_RNA from 1 species